ensembl:lncRNA
UUAUUUAUUUAAACUGUGCGAGACGUUUGGACUGUUUAUUGAUUUACUUUGUAAAACCGUCAUGGGUAGUUACAAAGGAGCUAAAUAAACUGAUCCAAUAGAGAAAUACACAGGUAUGCAGAUACACAGACAGACAGACAGAUCAAUAGGUGUAUAGACAGGCAGACAGGAGUAGAUAGAUCAAGCAAUAGGUAAGAAGGACAGACAAAAAGGUAGACAGACAGGUAGAUAGAGAGACAGACAGACCAGUACGGAUCUAUAGGUAGAUAGACAGACAGACGAGAAUAAAUAGGUAGACAGACAGACAGAUGGGUAGGUAGACAGACAGACAGACGAGUAGAUAGAUCAAUCAAUACUAUAGGUAAGAAGACAGACAGAUAGGUAGAUAGACAAAUCAAUAGAUAGAAAGAAAGACAGGAGUAGAUAGAUCAAACAAUAGGUAAGAAAGAGAGACAAAAAUGUAGACAGACAGGUAGAUAGAGAGACAGACAGACAAGAAGAUAGAUCAAUAGGUAGGUAGACAGACAGAUAGAUAGGUAGACAGACAGAUAGGUAGGUAGACAGACAGAUAGGUAGGUAGACAGACAGACGAGUAGAUAGAUCAAUAGGUAGAUAGACAGACAGAUAGGUAGGUAGACAGACAGACGAGUAGAUAGAUCAAUAGGUAGAUAGACAGACAGAUAGGUAGAUAGACAGACAGAUAGGUAGGUAGACAGACAGAUAGGUAGGUAGACAGACAGAUA